UACGUAGGGGGCAAGCGUUGUCCGGAAUCAUUGGGCGUAAAGCGCGUGUAGGCGGCUCGGUAAGUCUGCUGUGAAAGUCCAGGGCUCAACCCUGGGAUGCCGGUGGAUACUGUCGAGCUCGAGUCCGGAAGAGGCGAGUGGAAUUCCUGGUAUAGCGGUGAAAUGCGCAGAUAUCAGGAGGAACACCAAUGGCGAAGGCAGCUCGCUGGAACGGUACUGACGCUGAGGCGCGAAAGCGUGGGGAGCGAACAGG
rnacentral:rRNA from 1 species